UGAUCAGUCAGAUCGAUGUUUGGCGUGGCCGUGACAGAUAGAUCGGUGAUCCAUACUCCCCAAUUGUGCGAGUCUGCUGCAUUGUCUGUGCGGAGCUGAAGUGUGCUCCCUCCACUGUGGGUGAACACAUCAGUGUCGGAAGUUGCUGUGGACGGCAAGUGAGCCGUGCGCUCCCUCUCUCUCUCGCUCUCCCUCUCCUCACGAGUCGGAAGCGCUGCGCUGCUAUUCUCUGGUAGGUACUGUAUAUGCAGGCUGAUCCUGGUGUGUUUUUAAAUUGUUACACCACAUUAAGAUUGAGUAUUUUUGCUCUUUGCUCGCUUGGCAGGUAAUUGGGCCAGCCUGUGAAUCGCGGUGCUGCGGCCCUGUAGAAACCUCAGCCUCCAAGCCGUGGCCGACUGCUGUUCUGUCUCCCUCUCUUUGAUUGUUUUAGUUCAUGCUGCCGCUACAACUACUACUACUACUACUACUACUACUACUACUACCACUACUUUCGUGAUGAGUACAAUUUUGUGAUGGUUUAAAUUAUAGUUAUGAAUAUUGUUUCAGUUUGUUAGUUGCUUUAUUUUUGUUUGGUUGUUUGUGUGUUUAUUUUUGACUAAGUUGUUUGAUUUGAAUUACUGCAUGUUUUCUCUAUUCGAUUAAUUUGAUUUGAUUAUUUUGGUUUGUUCUUUAAAGUGCCUUGUGAAUUAUUUAGAUUGUGUUUGUGCAUGUUAUUGUUUUAUUUCUUUGUAUUCUGUUUUAUGUGCAUGUUCAUUUUUGAUUUAUUCUAUUCCAUUUUGUAUUAGUUGGGUUUGUGUGUGUGUGUGUGUGUGUGUGUGUGUGUGUGCUGCUGGCGUUCACUCUGCUGAUAAUUUUUGUGUUUUGUGCAGGGCAGGAGCUGUAGGGGCAGAUAGCGGCUGGUCCCCUGGUGGUGGUGUCCGUCAUUGGUCCUUCGACUGUACAGCACUUGGGUGUCAUCCGGAUGGUGUACGGUAAUCACUGUGGUGUAUAUUAAGACCCCUUUUCCUUCUCAG